CAAAGGCCUGGUCCUGACUUUAAUAUCAGUUUUAACCCGAAUUAUACAUGCAAGUACCCGCAUCCCCGUGAGAAUGCCCCUCCUCCCCCUCACCGGGGAGAGGGAGCCGGCAUCAGGCACGCCUUCAGGUAGCCCAAAACGCCUUGCUAAGCCACACCCCCAAGGGAAUUCAGCAGUGAUUAAUAUUAAGCCAUAAGCGAAAGCUUGACUUAAUUAGGGUUAAUUAAGAGCCGGUAAAACUCGUGCCAGCCACCGCGGUUAUACGAGAGGCUCAAAUUGACAUUCUACGGCGUAAAGCGUGAUCAGAGAAAAAAAACACUAAAGCCGAACAUCUCCUUAACUGUUAUACGUUCAAAGAGACAGGAAGCCCCACAACGAAAGUAGCUUUAACCCAAAAUCUUGAACUCACGAAAAUUAAGAAACAAACUGGGAUUAGAUACCCCACUAUGCUUAAUCGUAAACAACGAUGGGAAUUUACAAAUACCAUCCGCCAGGGAAUUACGAACACUAGUUUGAAACCCAAAGGACUUGGCGGUGCUUCAAACCCACCUAGAGGAGCCUGUCCUAUAACCGAUAAUCCCCGUUUAACCUCACCACUCCUUGCCAACCCAGUUUAUAUACCACCGUCGCCAGCUUACCCCAUGAGGGUAUAAUAGUAAGCUAAAUGGGCCCCCACCCAACACGUCAGGUCGAGGUGUAGCGAACGAAGUGGGAAGAGAUGGGCUACAUUUUCUGAAACAGAAUACUACGGAAGGCGCCAUGAAACAAAGCACAAUUGAAGGUGGAUUUAGCAGUAAAAAGAAAGUAGAGAAUCCUUUUGAAACUGGCUCUGAAGCGCGUACAUACCGCCCGUCACCCUCCUUUAGCAUAAACAAAAAAAUUUAUAAAAACCUAAUCAAUAAAAAAAGGAGGCAAGUCGUAACAUGGUAAGUGUACCGGAAGGUGCACUUGGAAGAAUU
rnacentral:ncRNA from 1 species